AGCUUUGCGCAGUGGCAGUAUCGUAGCCAAUGAGGUUUAUCUGAGGCGCGAUUAUUGCUAAUUGAGUAAUGUAUGGAGUUGUUGAAUCAAUAUGUGCACACUGGAAACUAA
rnacentral:snRNA from 1 species